CAGACCUCUGAUCAGAAAAGACUACCC
rnacentral:rRNA from 21 species